GAAAUGCGAUAAGUAGUGUGAAUUGCAGAAUUCAGUGAAUCAUCGAAUCUUUGAACGCACAUUGCGCCCCUUGGUAUUCCAUGGGGCAUGCCUGUUCGAGCGUCAUUUGUACCCUCAAGCUCUGCUUGGUGUUGGGUGGUUGUCCCCGUCUCCGCGCGUGGACUCGCCCCAAAGUGAUUGGCAGCCGGCGUACUGGUCCCGGAGCGCAGCACAUGUCGCGCAAACGAGUGCCUUGGUACGGCGGCGUCCAUAAGCCCCUCUCUCACGCUCUUGACCUCGGAUCAGGUAGGGAUACCCGCUGAACUUAAGC
rnacentral:misc_RNA from 1 species